rnacentral:rRNA from 1 species
UAAUACCUGGUAUUCCGGAAGCGGCGCAUGCCCCAUCCGGGAAAGCUCUCGCGGCGGGGGAUGGGGUCGCGGCCCAUCAGGUAGACGGCGGGGCAACGGCCCACCGUGCCGACGACGGGUAGCCGGGUUGAGAGACCGACCGGCCACAUUGGGACUGAGAUACGGCCCAGACUCCUACGGGAGGCAGCAGUGGGGAAUUUUGCGCAAUGGGGGCAACCCUGACGCAGCAACGCCGCGUGCGGGACGAAGGCGUCCGCGUCGUAAACCGCUUUCAGCGGGGAACACCUAAACGAGGGUACCCGCAGAAGAAGCCCCGGCUAAAUACGUGCCAGCAGCCGCGGUAAUACGUAUGGGGCGAGCGUUAUCCGGAUUCAUUGGGCGUAAAGCGCGCGUAGGCGGAGCGCUAAGCGGGACCUCUAACCCGAGGGCUCAACCCCCGGCCGGGUCCUGAACUGGCGCUCUCGAGUGCGGUAGGGGAGAGCGGAAUUCCCGGUGUAGCGGUGGAAUGCGCAGAUAUCGGGAAGAACACCGACGGCGAAGGCAGCUCUCUGGGCCGAAACUGACGCUGAGGCGCGAAAGCUGGGGGAGCGAACAGGAUUAGAUACCCUGGUAGUCCCAGCCGUAAACGA